ensembl:lncRNA
GAGAGAGGGAAAUGUCACCCGGAGCCCGGGCCCGCGGGGGAGAGGUGGCGCGUUAGAGAUGUGUGUGGGAGAGAGGGAGCGAGAGAGAGAGAGAGAGAGAGAGGGGGAGCGAGACCUCCGCUGGCCCCGCGAACUUGUCAAGGUUCUUCUCCUCAGAGAGUGCCGUAAAUUGUCAGAAAAUCUCCUCAUACACAGAAGAGUGACCAAGUGGUCUUCUCCACAGCAGCCAUGAACUUCAACCUUGAACUGAAGAAGACUCAUCAAAUGGAAAGACAGUAUGGAGCUGGAAGAGAAGCAGGGAUCUUCAUGAAGGGCAGUCAGUUAUAGUUAUGGUGUGUGGAGGAACAGGUCCUGUUCUUGCUGUUGUUACUCCCACAUAGGCAGACUCUGUAAUUGAUUAUGUGUGGGUAGGGCCCUAUUGAAAUUCAGGAGAUUCUGCAGUAGUGUGGGGUUCUUAUUGUGAAAGUUCAGUUGCAAGAUCAGGACCCUACUGUGACUACUUACUGUGCGUUCUGUCACUGUCUCAUUGAUUGUACUGGAACCUGCCUAUUGGGAUAAUUACCAAAUACUAUAUUCCUCAAAACUUCUUAAUGGCACUGAGGCUUUGUGGAUAGUUGGUCACAUGAUGAGAAAAUUCAGCUGUGAUUCACCAUGGGACCCUGAAGUUCUUCCUUACUGCAAUUAGACUGCCGGAGUUCAUGAUUCCUGAGAAGUAACACCUUGAAGUUCUGGCACUAUCUUCUACAAAGUAGCUUACACUGAGCUGGCUUCCUGUUACUGUGUCAAUGAAACAUCAAAUGUUGAUACUAUGUGUGAAACAACAUUUGAUAUUAUGGCUAUUAAGCUACUUGAAAAAAUUCUAUACAGAUGGUUUUUAUGUUUACAAGACCUUGCAUUUAAAAAUGUAUGUCAUGGAUGCAGGUAAUAAAUAUUGUUUAUGAAUUGUUACAGGAUAGAAAAUACUUAUAAUUGUGUAAAAUAUGUUAGUCUUAGCUCUUGCUAUUUUUAUCUCCUAAAUAUCUUAUAAUAAGGUGGUUAUAAAUAUCUAAAGAUAUGAAUCAUUUAAUUUGUUGAAGCACAGUGUGCGUCAUUUAGAAUGGUGGUAAAGGAGAAAAGUGGACAUGCCCUUCUCAUAACAGCUAAACAUGAAAAGAAGUUAUCAGAGAUAAUGAUAUAAUUCAAAUUUAUAGAAAUUGUUAUGUUUUGCUGUAUAAGCAUAGCUCUUUACAAAAUGAUGAUCUCAUCCUAAGGUUACAGUUACCUAAAUAGAUUCAUUGCUGAACUUUAUUCUAGUGUUUUUAUAUCUUUGCUGGAAGUAAGAGAACACAAACAUUUAAAAUUUAAAUUAUUGAUCUUCAGCCAUGCUACAACUUUCAGAACUUAGUGUUUAACCCCAGGAUUUGAUCCAUAGCUCUUUUAAAUUCUGGAAUUCCAGAAACUGUUCAGGUGAGUAGGAAAAAGCAUAGAAAGAAACUGAAAUGGGGAGAAGGAAAUCAUUAUCCUUUACAAAAGAAAAGAUGAAAAAAAGUUAAUGAGCAUAGGAAAAAUAAUAGGGUGAAAGAGAGGAUUCAGGUGAGUACUUCCAGUAAUAUUUUUUAUAUUGUGCUCAGAUAUGUUAUGCUUUGUGCUUACAUGGAAAACAGACUGAGACUUCAGCUUUCUAACUGCUGUUCUGAGCUGUACUUUACUCCCUGUGCAUUUUUAUUUUAGCACAGUCGCUUCUAAGGAAGGCUUUAAAUUGGCUUUCAGGGCCAACCUGAAUCACACAGUUCAUUAUCCUGCUGAAAUGAUGACUACCCCAAUGUUUGUCUUCCCAAGUUAGUAUUAAAAACCUGCUAUUAGACAUGAAAAAAAUCAGAGCCAUUUUAAAAAUAUAUGUUACUCUUAAUUCUAGUCACUAGCAUUUGGGAAAAGGGACAAGCAGGCACUCAGUAACAGUAAAGAGUGUCAGAAUUUCUAUGGGAAACCUAAUUGUAAUAAUAUUGAAAUUGAAAAUAAAACCUGCUAAUUAGAUGUUACUCAGCAGGAUUAGGAAAAGUCAAUCAAUUCAUAACCAAAUGUAGCUGUAGAACAAUGGAUUACUUACCUUGGCACUCAUUACAGGUUAGACAUCAGUGUGGAUUUCAUCCAUAAGCUGUAAUAAAAUAAAAUAAGUUAGGAAAUUGCAAAAAAAAAAGGUUCAUUCAGUAAUUUGUCCAUAGAUGUUCUUAGUUUCUGCAUGAUUUCCAUAAGUAUAUACAGUAUUAUAGCAAGAGUAUAUAUUUAGGGAAAUCCUAUACUUUUUAAACUAAGCAAUUAACAAAUAUUCAUACAGUGACUAUAACUGGUUUCAUGAAUUACCACGCAAAAAACCCAUUUUACUACAGGGAUAAGGAUCUCCCAUUUUUUGUACAUUCAUGCAGUGGUAUGCAUAAAACAUUUUAACUGUUCACCUGAGCAACACUUCAGUGUAACUGAGCCCUGAGCUGGUGGAUGGCAGAAUAACAUCCUCUCUAAAAGGGGACAGAGAGUGAAAAUGGGUGGGGCAGGGAGAGGUCUUAUGGUGCCAGUUCACAAUUAAUUUUGGAAUGGUAGCAUCUACUUUUUGGAAUGUAGUGUAUUAAUUUCUGCUGAUAGAGAUAGGUCAGCAUAAGAACUAUGCUAUAAAUUGCUGUGUGAUAGGGUUCCCAUUCCUAUGCCAUGUUUGUGUCACUGGACAGCAGUUUUUAAGGGCACCCAGUAAAGAUAUGAAUACCAAAAAAUUAACAUAACUAUACUCUUCAGUUUAAAAAGAAAAUGAAAUUAAAUACAGAUAGAAUUUUUAGAAGUUCUAAAUAAGAGACUUUUUGGUCUAUUUUAUGGUUAAGCCCUUGCCAUUUUGUUGUUUUGUAUUCAUGUUACACUAUUUAAUGUUGCAUGAUUGGUUUAGAUCAUGUAAAUCCCAUUUCAAGUAUAUUUAAAUUUUAAAGACGUCUUUUUAAUUGCAUUGUAACUGGCAACUCUGUGUUGUCCUCAUGUAAUAGGCAGUAUCAAGAUGAGUGUAUUCUGAAAUAGUUAAUAGUGGAAGACCACUCCAAUCCCAGCACUAUGUCUCUCAGAUUUUCCAUAUUGACAAGGAAGAACCAACAGUGAGUGGUCCAUUUGGUACCUUCCAGCCCCCAGAUCACUGCCCAGGAGGAAAGUCACUUUCCCAUUCCCUUCUCUGAUCAUUUAUGCUUUGGUACUGCUGUUCUGUAAGGACACAGUCUUGGCUUUGCAUCUGGGCUGGCAAGCUGGUGAAGGUGGUAUGAAGAGGUUGUUUCCACAGACCAGUUCCACACUGAAGUUUCCUGCACACACUGGGCUGUAUACCAACUUUAAAACCAGACCUUCCCCAUGACUCUUUUAUUUAAUUAUAGUUAGUUUAAAAUAACUAUUAUGUCUCCAUGACCAUGACAUUGGAUUUCAGCAUUUUUUCACAGCAGUAUUUACUGUAUUUAGUAACAAAUUACUGAAAUAUCAGCCAUGCUAUUUUAAGAAUGAGUUAAAUGUGAUAUUUAAUUAAUUGUGUCUUAAAGUUUGGAAUAGAGAAUCCCAGUAAUAUUAAGCUUAAAUUUUUAAUUACAGCAGAUAAACUUAAAGCCCAAUAGUAUAUAAUUAGUUCUAACAGAAAAGCAAACUUCCUUUUAUUUGGGUCAGACUUAAUUUUUGUGCUCAGUGUAGUGCACACAAGUACUGCUCAGUAAUAAAAAAUAUUAUGCAGCACAGACCUAUUACAUGUUCUGUGCAGAUGAAAGUCAUUAGUAAAGUUUCCUUGUUCAGAUUAAAGGAAGUUGAAAAUAUGCUGAAUCACUUAUUAUUUUAAUCCAGAUGUUUUUAUCCAUAAAUAUUAAUCUCAAAGAUAAAAUGCUAGCUUAAUAAAUACUAGUAAACUUCACAAAAUUAAUUACAUUUUAAAUAUGUGAUUCAGAGUCUAGUAUUCAAAUCUUAGGAUGGGAUGAAUCGCCCUCUGGAGGUGCCCAUUUUAGUUUGCUGACUUCACAGGACUCCUGCUCUGAAGUGACUAGUUCAAACUAAAAGUUGACUGGCCUAUCACCUUCAUUGAGAAAUAACUGAACAUUUCGUACCCCAGUAGAUCUUGUCGUUAGACCUCUCUAAGAAUGGCUGCCUUAUUCCUCACCUUUUCUGUCAGUGUUCUUGUACUGUUUCUAAUAUGAAUAAACACAAGUGUUACUGCUACCAUUUCCUGUAUAUUGUUUUUUCCUGUCCUUUUCAAUCUUGUUAUCUUAUCUUUCCCUGUUUUUUUUUUCUUUUUUUUUUUUUUUGUUUUAUUUUUCUUGACUCUCUACAGCUGCCAUCUUUUCUGAAGCUUUUCAUUUGCUACCUCUCUGACAAUCCUACUUUCCAUGUUGAAAGUAUUAUCCUAACUUCUGAUGUGGAAGAUUGCCGGCCCUUUCUUUGAAUGCUGAUACCAGUAUUUUCUUGACUAAUAGUAUUGUAAUGAAGACAUAGAAAAAGAAGACUAUGGUACUCAUGAGGUUUUUUAUGGUUUGUGUAGUCAAAAAAUAUUGUUUUUAUGCCUUCAUAUAAAAUGUGUUGGUUUCCCAAUGUAACUGUAACUUAAAGAUGUUUGUAGAAAUGUAAAAUUAAAUGUGAAUAGUAUAAAAUCCACAUUAAAGACAUAAAAGUU